rnacentral:rRNA from 1 species
CCUACGGGUGGCUGCAGUAGGGAAUCUUUCACAAUGGGCGAAAGCCUGAUGGAGCAACGCCGCGUGCAGGAUGAAGGUCUUCGGGUUGUAAACUGCUUUUAUAAGCGAGAAAAAUAUUGGGAACUUAUGAAUAAGGAGCGGCUAAAUACGUGCCAGCAGCCGCUGUCAUACGUAGGAUCCGAGCAUUAUCCGGAGUAACUGGGUGUAAAGAGUUGCGUAGGUGCUAUAAGAAGUAGCUAGUGAAAUCUGGUGGCUCAACCCUUCAGACCACUAGCGAAACUGUCAAGCUCGAGACCGUGAGGGGGAAGUGGAAUUCCUAGUGUAGGAGUGAAAUGCGUAGAUAUUAGAAAGAACACCAAUAGCGUAGGCAGGUUGCUGGGACGGUUCUGACACUAAGGCACGAAAGCGUAGGGAGCAAACGGGAUUAGAUACCCUUGUAGUC